GACGAACGCUGGCGGCGUGCUUAACACAUGCAAGUCGAGCGGUAAGGCCCUUUCGGGGUACGACGAGCGGCGAACGGGUGAGUAACACGUGGGUGACCUGCCCUCAGCUCUGGGAUAAGCCUGGGAAACCGGGUCUAAUACUGGAUAUGACUCCAUGACGCAUGUUGUGGGGUGGAAAGCCUUGUGCGGCUGAGGAUGGGCCCGCGGCCUAUCAGCUUGUUGGUGGGGUGAGGCCUACCAAGGCGACGACGGGUAGCCGGCCUGGGAGGGCGACCGGCCACACUGGGGACUGAGACACGGCCCAGACUCCUACGGGAGGCAGCAGUGGGGAAUCUUGCGCAAUGGGCGAAAGCCUGACGCAGCGACGCCGCGUGAGGGAUGACGGCCUGGUGUAACU
rnacentral:rRNA from 1 species